GCACGGAGUUAGCCGGGGCUUCCUCUCGAGGUACCGUCAACCGAAGAGGCUGUUAACCUCUCCGGCGUUCGUCCCUCUCGACAGGAGUUUACGACCCGAAGGCCUUCAUCCUCCACGCGGCGUCGCUGCGUCAGGCUUUCGCCCAUUGCGCAAGAUUCCUCACUGCUGCCUCCCGUAGGAGUCUGGACCGUGUCUCAGUUCCAGUGUGGCCGAUCGCCCUCUCAGGCCGGCUACCCAUCGUCGCCUUGGUGGGCCGUUACCUCACCAACUAGCUAAUGGGGCGCGGGCCCCUCCGGUGGCACUAGCUUUCAUGAAGAGGCUAGCUUUGAUCCCGUGGUCCGAGGACCUCGGGAUGUCAUGCGGUAUUAGCCCUCCUUUCGAAGGGUUAUCCCCCACCUCCGGGCAGGUUACCCACGUGUUACUCACCCGUCUGCCACGCUACCGACGGACCGAAGCCCGUUUUCGCGUUCGACUUGCAUGUGUUAGGCACGCCGCCAGCGUUCGUU
rnacentral:rRNA from 1 species